rnacentral:tRNA from 1 species
GCGCGAGUAGUUCAGGUGGUAGAACACCAGCUUCCCAAGCUGGGUGUCGCGGGUUCGAGUCCCGUCUCGCGCU